GGAUUAUCAUUCGUCCUGACAAUGGUGGGAUUUGAUCAGGAGCACUAACAACACAUUACUGGCUCACCUGAAGCGUGAACGGCCGUGUCAGCGCACUGGGGAUCAUCAAGACUCCUCCGCAGAACCUAUGCUCCCCAGGUAUGGGCCGACCCUGAUGACCUCGACUCAACAUGUAGUGCGCCAUGUUCACCACAAGAUGGCGAUUAACAACCACCGUUUGACACCAGAGCUGAAGCACAAAGGAGUUUAAGACCUGUUAACAUUGCAGUAACAGACUUUUGUUCUGCUGUGACACUGCAUCACUUCCUCUGUGGGCAUACAGCGAUGCGAGGAUGCAAGCACAGAGGAAAAGUGGUUUGAGUGACUCAUUCCAGUGUCUGGAGGGACAAGUUGGCAGGCCUGAGAACAAGAAGCAGAGCUAACACAGGAAGUGACACAUCCAGCAGUACCAAGAGCUCGCCAUGCUAUGGGUCGGUUUUCUAAAGUUUGUGUCAGUGGAUUCAGGGCGGAAGAAGAGUGUCAGAAGUACAGCAGAGUGAAAUGAGCAAUCUGAAAUGAUUUCCUGGUUGGGAGGAACUAAUGAAUAGGGCCGAGGACAGGGUUGAAGGAGUGAUGAGCGUGGGAGCUCCCCGUGGUAUUCCCCGCCUGCUUGUUCUCAGCUGUCCUCCUGGAAACCUCGGUCCAGCUGCUGCCCAUUACACCAGGAAUCUUUGCAGUGGCCUGGAGACCUGCAGACCUGUUCACUGAGCAACCUCUUGACCUCUUGGUCGCAUGCGUGCCUGCACGCAGCCCGAGACCCUCGAGUGCAGGAUUUUUAUCGGUUCACGGAGCAAGGCUUUAAAACUAGAGGUGACAAAGCAUUCGCAGCAGAGCCCUGAGGUGAUGCAAGAAGCUGCUGCUUUGCUGUUUUUAGUUGCUUCUUGUCCUGUGCAGUCAUUUUCAACUUAAUUAUUAAAGUUACUUGCUUUGUUACUCGUGUAAAUGAGGAUAGCUGCAUACAUACAAACACUAGCUGAAGAAAUUCACCAAGAUUCUGCAGCCUGUAUCACGGUCUACACUCAUAUAGGUGAAUGUGGAAAAAUAGGUGACUAAAAUGGCAAAACCUAAGUCUCAAGUAAACAUCCCAAGUAAAGAAGAAGGCAGGGAGGCAUGAAAGGAGGGGGAGAUGCAUGGCCAGACAUUCACGGAGGGAGGGACUCCUUCAUGAAUGGCUAUGACUAAGAAUAACAUGCUAAACAGUGCCUCGUGUGUGUGUGCGUGUGCUUGCCCUGUGGUAAUCUUAUCACGGGUGUAGUCAUCAUGAGGCGCGGUCUCUUCAGCUCUGGAGAGGAGUGGUCAGGCUGGACGGGUGAUCCAUCUAAGAGCAAUCACCAUCAGCAGACAGAAAGACACAAGACGGCUGCAAAGGCACUGUUUACCUUCUGUCAGUCCGUUGUUAAGUACCACUAAAAAGCUGUUUGCUAUAUCAGCAGAGAUAAGAGCAUGACAGUGGGGUAACUGAUGUCUGCAGGGGAGUUUCAAAGUGAUGAAAGAUUAGGUGGUUUAAAAUGUCCAUUUAUAUCAGUCACUUUUUUUCCCUUUAACCUGAUUUCAAACUCUCCGUGUGCCCUGCUGUUGUGUUAUAUUAGGUUGGCGUAAUUCUGUAUUCUGUGUCCACUUUUUACUUUUAAAGUGUGUUUAUAUGGACAUGCAUACUUUGUACAGCGCUUUGUUCAAUGAAAACUGUGUUUAAACAUGCUUCACAAAUACAUUUUACUUAUUUUUAUACUUACUGUGUUAAAAUAGUCAACAGACAUGAUUUUACUGCUCUCCUAACAUGAAUACUUUGUCCACUGUUUAUAUUAAAAAAAACUGAUAUAUACUUUUAAAAAAACAAAAACUACUCAAAAUUGGUGAGCUGUAAGUUUGCUUAUGUACCCAGAGCCAGAACGCUCAGAACGAUUUACUCCCUUAAAUGAUUAAAAAGGAACCUGAGAGGUUGCAGAACACCUUGAAGUCUUAAGCUGGUUUUAUUUCAAACAAAUCCAGCCAAAUAUAACCUGUGUACAAAUGGUAAUUAA